CUCAGGGCCGGUGGCCGCCUGCACUGCAGGGUCCCUGGAUCUUGUGCCUGGACAUAGAUCUCGAGGUGUUUGUGGCGGGGCGCAGCCUGGACCUGCUGGAGGAGCUGUGACAGGCUUACUGGCCUGGGUUCGGGAUGACGGGAAUGGAAAGAAACGGGAUUCUGUGGUCAGAGGGACCUCUUGUCGCCCUUUCCUAGGCUAGCCAAACCUAGUCCCAGCUUCAAUACCAGGCCCUUAAAUAGAAACAGAGUUGACUCGUGGCUCUGGGGAUUUGAGCGCGUGGUCACACAUACGGGACUGCCCAGCAUCGCAGAAAAUUUACCAUGGCUGGCAUCUGCCGACAUAUACACAGAUUUCCAGAGCCCUUUUGAGAACCAGGAGGCUUAAAGAAUCAUGAGGGUCCCUUCCUGCCGUGUGUGGGGAGCAUUGAUGAGGUACAGUUUGACAAGAUAGAAAAACCCACAACACUGCAGGCAGCUGAUGCAGGUGCUGUCUCUGCCCGACAAAAGCCGUGCUAUCUCGGAGCAGAGAGAACACAGGACACAGGAUGGGAUGUUCCCACCGAAUAGAUAC